GUGUUUAAAUCAUGAAUGUCUUCACCAACUUCAGCUCUGAAAACAUAAAAAUUUUAGCCAGUGCUGGCUAUAGUUAAACAGUACUGGUAUUACUUGAAAAAAUAAAAAUAAAAAAUAUAUUGUCAAAAAAAAAAAAGACAUUUGGUCUGGAAAAAGUACAUUCAUCCUCCCCAAGCAUUCUAUGUAGCAUCCUUUUAUCCCUUUCUUCCCCAACCUUUUCUCAUUAAUCAACUUUUUUAAGCAUCCAUGCAACUCUCUUAGCAGAUAUUUUUUUGUGUUUAAUGUAUGCCAGACUCUGUUUUAGGCAUUGAGCGUACAGCAGCAAACAAAACAAAUGAACAUUGCCUUUCUCAUAAAAUUAAUUGUUUGGAUACAAAAAUUUCGAAAUGUCAAAUAUUAUACUAUUCCAUAUGGUGAAAACCUAUGGGGGAAAAAAACUAGUGGUUGAAUUUGGGGUAUAUUUUAAAGGCAGAUCUGCUGACUAAUUGAGUAUGAGGUGUGAGCACAAGAUUUCUGACCUGUAACUUCAAGCAGGUUGGGCAUGAAGAUCGUGAGCUUGGUUUGGGGCUUGUCAUCAUUGAGAUGCCCAUUUGACACCUACCUUUGGAUAUCCCCACAAGCAGACCUUGAGACACACAUUUGAGUGCAAGUAAUCUACCCAGGAGAUGAUCCCAGGAAACAUCACAGGGAAUUGAAGUGAGACGGCAAAACUGUCUUCUAGAUCUGGAGUCCCUCGCUGUCCUCUUAAAUGGUCCAGAAAAGAAUAAGGCAUCAUUGAUGGAUAAAACCUAAAAGAUGCCCUUGACUCUACAGCUCCGCAGCCUGGCUGAUCAUCAGAAUUAACAGAAAACACUUUGGGGAACAUUCUUAUGACACAGUGUAAGGCUGCAGACCAAACCCAGGCAAGCAAUCAAGGACAGGAGGACACACACUCGUGGCCUCCCCAGCAUGAACUGUACUUGAAGAAGCCCUGCUCCAAGGGUGAGUAAGUGGUAACAAGAUGGGCUUAUGAGAAACACAGAGAGGGAAGAGCAUCAGUACCGCCACAACUUAGUUGAGCAACAGCUGCUUGAAGGAGAAAAAUGCAGAACAUUUUUGGUGCAAACUGUUUGGUGUUGCAUUUUGCUUUUCAUUUGCUACUUGAACUUAACCUUUCAUUCUACUUGUGAUCUCAUGAAUUCAACCAGAGAAAUCAGAAAAAGAUCUUUUUCUGCAAGAUGUCUAUGCAGACAGCUUGAAUUCUGGAUUUCAUCAACUACUAGAGAAAGAGUACAAAAACCUCAUGUGUUAUAUCUCUGGCAGAAAAUUCAAAACGGAAGCAAAUAGGAAUUUUAGUUCUCAUGAAAAUAGUAAGCAAAGAUUAGUUAAGGAUAAUCGGUUGAUGCUAAGGAAGAUAACUGCUUAGUAAACAAAUUCAUGAAAUAUUCGGUGCAUCUAGAACCACAUGUUUUUUAAACACAAAAAACUCCAAAAUGUAUGAAAAUCUUAAUCCUUACCCUUGACUUGUAAUCAUUGCUCCUCAUAAAGAGAGACUCAAAAUAACUCAAAUUCUUUGGCUACAAAUAACUCUAUUUAUCUCCAAAAAGCCCACAUGAACCCUAGUUCUUUCUAAGCACAAAGAAACAGAGGAGAGGAUAUAUAAAUAGUAGCAAUCAUUGGAACAAAAGUUGAAAUGAGGGUAGAAAUAGACUCCCACCCUCUCUUUUCCCUUCUAAUAGGCACAAAUAUUCAUGGAAGAAUAAGAAACUUCAGAGCAACAUGGGUCUCUGGACAAGUCAUAAUUUUUAGAAGUGAGUGGAGACUUAGAGGGAACAGUAAGACAAGAAAAUAGCAGGGAAAGACAAUAAAGUAAGGGCCCUGUCUAGUUAAUAAGCAUUUUCCUGGAAAUGAAUGGAAUAGGAUACAAUGGUGAGAAUACACACCUAAUAGCUAACAUAUCCAUUUCUUAUGUAUUUCAAGUCGAAUGAUAAUCACAGUGACAGCCUCAUUUAUUCAGCACUUACUAAGUGCAAGGCACUACAUGAAGGAGAGGCGAAGACAGAUAAUGCUUUGUCCGUGAUUUUAAGAAAUUUACAAUCUAGGAGGGGAGAUAAGACAAUGUAUGCAGGUAUCUAUAAUAUGCAUAGUAGAAUACAUAGUCAACAGCCAAUAAAUGUAGGCUAGCUAAUUAUCGAGCAAAAUGGUAGCUAAAGGUUUUGGCUUUAAGGAGGCCAGCUGUAUAUAGCAGUGGAGGGGAUGUUGGAGAGGGAAUGAAUUAGGGAUGAGACAGCUUAAACAAACAGAGGAAAGAGCUAUGGCUUUAAAUAAAUGUGGUUGAAAAACUUUAGGUCACGAAAAGCUCAAGAAAUAUGGAGUCUUCUAACUCUUGGGAUGUUACAAAUGAGGGCAGACAGGACAGAUAAGAAGUAAUUUAGAGAAGCUAUUCCAAGUUUGUCUCAUAGUAAUGAAGCCAGUCCCUUAGCCUGUUCAGGCCAAUCGUCUCAAUCCUGUUUCCCCAGGAAAGAGACUCAAAAAUCUAACCAAGAGAGUCUCUUAAACCUCAGCUCUAAUCGCUAAAGGAAAAGCAGCAGCUGUGGAGAUCUACAAAUGUAACUGUUGCCAAGAUAAAAGCAACUGAAGGUUGCUGGUACAGGCAGAGGGGAAAUACCACAGUGUGAACAGUUUUUUAGGUCAGCCAUCAAAAAGGAAAAGGAUCCCAGGAAAGGUAAGCUGGGUUCCACAGGGUCUCAGCAGUCCCUGGCUCACCAGGUGGACAAAGGAAAUGAUGAUGAUGCUGCCCACCAUAGAGUUCCCUGUGCCCUUCGAUACUUCCUAGGGCCACUGACCUGGCUGUGUUCCAGGAAGAAUAAUUUAGCUCCAAUUACUUAAAACUGCUUUAUUGGUUUCAUAGAGAAAAAAAAAAAUCUCCUAAGCCGACUUUUAUAAAACCAGACAAUACCAUUCAGAGGGCAUAUAUUUCCUCAUUUUUUUAAAGAAACAAUUGGAAUUUAAACAAUGACAAAGGGCAGGCUUACUUCGUUCUGUUCGGUGAAAAUCUUCCAAUUCAGUGCUUCCAGUAGUUACUAUGACCACAAACAUUUCCAUAGGAAAGAUCCAUUUAGAGAUUCAGACUGAGAAAGUUUUUCUUUGGGGGCAAUCACUCAGAAAAUAAAACAACAAGGGGGAAAGUCCUGGCUCCCCUUCCUUCACUAUCCUCUACCCCCAAAUCUGCCCAUAACCAGUCAAUAACCCCUCAGAUGCACACUAAUGGCAGUCACCCAGGACGUACAUCUGCUGUAUUUAUGAGACUUGCUUUGACAUAGAACUGCCAAGUCUAGAAUUAUUCACUUCAGUGCUAUCACAGGCUGCUCCAUCCCAGGGCAGGAGCACUGGGGAACUUCCCUGUUUGAAGAAGAAAAAUAAAAGACCGCUCAUUUGCAUUUUGUAGUCCAGCUUUCUUUUAUUAAAACACGCAAACUACAGACCAUGUAAAGGUGUUAAGUUCUAUUUUGAACCUUAUUGGGAAACUAUGACAGGAUCAGGUAGAAGUGCAGCUACCUACAAUUCAGACUCUGAAACAAUUAAGACAAGUCACAGGGAAUUUAAUGGGGACUGGGCAGCCACAGAUGGGCAGAGGAUCACUGCUUAGGCCAUUGGGGUCUCAAAGAACAGUUCAGCAAGAACCCAGAAUGUAAAGGUACACCUCACUGUUACUUUUAAAAUUUCUUUCUAAUAAGGAUUAUAAAACAAGUACCUCAGAUAACAAUGCAUUAAAAAGACCAAUAAAUGCAUUUAGAAUGGAAAAAAAAUACCACUAUAAAAGUGUAAGUGCACAAUGGAAAUUUAUUCUCAUGUUCAUUUGAAUUCUGUGUUAAAAUAAAUAGCAAGACCAGCACGCGGUGGCUCAUGCCGAUAAUCCCAGCUCUUUGGGAGGCCAACACAGGCAGACACCUGAAGUCGGGAGUUUGAGACCAGUCUGGCCAACAUGGUGAAACUGUGUCUCUUCUAAAAACAUCAAAAAUUAGCUAGGCAUGGUGGCAGGUGCUUGCAAGUCCAGCUACUCAGGAGUCUGAGGCAUGAGAAUUGCUUGAGCCCAGGAAGCGGAGGGGUGCAGUGAGCUGUGAUCGCGCCACUGUACUCCAUCCAGCCUGCGUGACACAGCAAGACUCCGUCUCAAAUAAAUAGCAAAUUGAAAAACAAAACAGAAACCCUUUCUCACUUGUGAUAAUAAAGUCCUUGCUGAAGGUUUCCCUUUGGACUUCAUUCACUCAUGCACAUAAACACAGAUGCUAGUCCUGAACACACUAUGGCACUGGCUAAAGUAAGGGUUCUCAUUUAGACAAAUGUAUAAUCUAAUUUCAGUUACUGCAGCACUUAGAAGUUCAAGUUAAUUGGUAGCUGUGGAAGUACGAUACCAGAUCCAAGGAAACUGUGGUGUUUGGCAUAUAUUGGUAUUCUCACGGCCCCUGAGAGCACAGGUGAGAACUUCCUAUGAUGUUCUUCAGAAUGACUCUACACCAUCCUUGGACUCUCCUUCAACUCUUCCAACACAUGUUUCUCUUCUCCUUACUUUCAUUCCCAAAAGAACAGAGGGUAGGAUUCUUAGCAAGUGGAAGAUGUAAGUGUUGAGCCAUUACUUUUCUAUUUCUACUUAGAAACUAAAAUUUUAAGACUCAGAGAUGGUAAGUACUAUGUUGUGCUAUGUAUAUGUGCACAGUACAGCUAAAUUAUACUUGUAUUUAGCGUGAGUAAAUGGAACUAGACUCUCUCACCAGAAGGAGGGAAAAAAGAGGCAAAAAGGGAUGGAGAGAGAAAGAGCAUAUGAAGAAACAAAUGAAAAAUAGGAGGUGUGAAUUUUUUGUCUUUUCCUUUUGUUGAGACAGGGUCUCGCUCUGUCACCCCGGCUGGAGUGCAGAGGCGUGAUCUCGGCUCACUGCAUUCUCCACCUCCCCAGCUCAAGCCAUCCUCCCCCCUCAGACCCCAAAUAGCUGGGGCUAAAGGUGCACCAUCACACCUGGCUAUUUUUUUUUUUUUCCAGAGACUGGGUUUCACCAUGUUGCCCAGGCUGGUCUCAAACCCCUGAGCUCAAGCGAUCCACCUGCCUCAGCCUCCCAAAGUGCUGGGAUUACAGGCAUGAGCCACAGCACCUGGAGGAACUGUGAAUCUUAAAUCUAGUAUUUCUGUAGUCCAUGAGUUCACCAUAACUCUUAUAAUAUGCACUGCAAUAAGCCAUGAAUAGAAUAUCUUUUCAUUACUUAUUUUAAUUAUAAGCCCCUUUGUCAAAGUUUCCUUGAUUACCCCUGCCUAACACAGGUCUUUAGAUUCUCAUACUAUUUCCUGCCUAUAGGAGUUCCUGCCACACAAUCUUCCUUUUGUCAUUAAUUUUGCUCGUUAACAGAAACUGAGCCUACUCUCGUGUGAGGGAACUCUGUUUUGAAGAUGCUAGAUGUAGUUAAGACCUUUGGCCCACUGCCCCCAGCUGAGCAGCCGAGGCAGAAGAUAACAGGCGCCGACUCUUAUUGUAUUCCCUGCAUGUGCUGUUGCUUGUUCUGGGGAAAGGGGAAACCAGGAACAUUCAGUAACCACUAAAGGAAUACAAAGAUCACAGGGGCAGUUUUUAGAAUGAAGACCAAUUCUAAAAUAAACAUUGCCUCGGAAACCGACUGCUUCACCCCACUAGCCUUUGACUCAGUUCUCAUAGGAUUCCCCAGGGAGAUCCCAGCCUGUUAAUUUUCCCCAGUAGUUGUCAGCAGGCAGGGCCAGCAAAGCCACGUGCAUUGUUAUCAGCUCAGCCUGUGACCAGGCACGAAAUGGCUGUGCUUGGCUUGCGCAUCUCCAUAUCCACGUGCAGUCCAUGAUGUCAUGGAGGCCGUGUUGUCUCCUGCACAGCAUUGUAUACUAUCUAACAAAGUUGAAUAAAUAGCCCAGUUUUCAGUUCCAUCCCACCUUCUCCAAUACAAUCAGCUAGACUUGACCACUGAGUACUUUGUGAAUUGUGAAUUGUUCCAGAAUUGUGAAAAUCAAGCCUUAGGAUUUAGGCAAUUCUUCCCUUCCCCCAAGAUGCAUGGCACAUCUGCUACAAGAAAUGUGAGAGACGAUCUGAGAAACCUUUAAGUCUGAGUGCUUUACGCCUUUCAGAUAACUCAGUGGUUCUCCAGGAAUUAUAGCUGUCUUUAAAGACACAAGAUGGAUUACAUCUUCAACUGCUUGAAACGCUGUCUUCAGUAGUAAACUGCUUUCAUUACCACAAAAAAAGACAGAUACUAUCUUCAAACUCAAUAGAAUACUGAAUUUGACAUUGUCUAGUAAGUCCUUAAUGAAAAAUAACCGAACCACUGUUGUUUUUUAAUAACACUUUCCAAAUAAAACAGAGUUAAGAACAGCAGUUAGGAAACCGUUUGCUGCCAUUUCUCUUGCAAAUCCCAGAAAUAAAGAACAUAUAACACAAAAAUAGCUCUUGCCCCAGUUCUUCCUGGCUCUUGCUUACUGAUAAGGAGAGGGAAGAUAAGAUGCAAGUUGUGUUUAAUGUUAAUUCCUUGUUUUUAUCCAAUUUUAGAAGAGCUACCCCCCUAUAAUGCGGUUGUAUAAAAAGUGGAACAUUAUUAUAAUACACGUUUAUCUUAUGCUUAUGAAUUUUUAAAUUUAAGAAAAAUUUUCUUUUGUAUUUUUCGAUAUUGAUGGUUUUGAAUUUUCCAGAGAAUUCCACAUUUGAUAUUUCUGCUAAAUAAAUAACCCUGAGUCUGAUCAUCUUCAUAGUUGACUUUACAACUAAAAGAUUUUGUUUCCUUGCUUAAUCUAAGGACAGAUAACAAAUUUAUUUUAUCAAGACUAUUUAUAGUAUAUAAUUUAGCCACUUAAGAAAUAGUAUAUAAGAAAAAAGACUAGAAGGAAACAUGCUACAUUGUUAACAAUGUUUAAUCCUGGGUAUUGAGGCUAUUCAUGAUUGCUAUUUUCUUCUUUUUAUUAUCUGUAUUGCUAAUUUUUUCUUUUAAUAAUCUACAUUUCUCAUAAUUUUCAAGAUUUACAAACGAAAAUCAACUGUAUUCUCCAAAAAGUUUAAUUGAAACAAAAACAAAACCUUAUCAAAAAGUCAACAACUUUACUUCCUUGUCAAAGACCUAAAAGGGAGGAAAUCAGUGAUCAUUUUUUUUUAAACCUAAGUUUAGCUUUUGUGCCACUGUCUUGAACAGCCUGUUCCCUCGGGAUCCUUUAGUGGCACCACUAGUUUUUAUUGGAUUGUCAUUGCCCAUGACCUUGUUGGACAGAGCUAGGAGACUGGGCAAAGUUCUUCCGUAUGGCUUUAUCACUUUUAGUCACUAUGAAGUAUCUGAAGCCAAAAAUAGUUCAGAAAACAUUGCUCUCAUUGAGGAAAAAGACAAGCUGGCCGAACAACCAAAGGCUCCCCCUUCUAACCUACUCACAAAAGACCAUGAAGUGCUCGUUCACCUCCACAGUCAUAGUGCAAUAUUCCUUUGUUUGUCGAUUAUAAGGUGCACUUCAAACCUUCCCCAACAUCUCCCUCCAGGCUCCUUUUCUUAAUGUGCCUACAAUUAGUCAGUCGUAUUUUGCCAUCUCACAACUUUAAACAAAGUUCUACAUUUCAGACACAAGUGGAAAAAUGAAGCCAGUAAGGAUUCUCUUCCUUCCUUCAUUUCUCCUUCCUGUCUUCUCAAGAUUCCUUUCUUGCCCUCCCAAAAAGGACAAGGCAGAAACAGAAGCCAGUUAUUUCGGAGUGUUUUUCAGGGCAAUUUAAUGUGGGCAUCGUGGUAGGAUUCAAAGAUCUUAACGGUCUAGAAACAGCAACACACACAUAAGAAGUUCACAAGAACAAACAAAACAUGUGCUGGGCUGCUUAUGUGAGAGCCCAGGGAAGUAGCAGUAAGUAGAAUGCACUUUUCCAGUAGAAAUAAUCUGAGGCAUGGUGAGCACUGUAGUCUCCUUAGACCUUUGCUUUAGCCAUCCUGCAUGUGAAAUGUCUUCACGCACAUCCCUGAGAAUGACACCCUCUGUUGUUAAACACAAUUUUCACAGGAAAUUUGAGUUCUGAGUUCACAUACAUAGAUUUCUAAAAUCAUCUGGGAGCUAAGAACUGCUUCUGGGCAUGUAUCUAUAUACUGGAUUCAGUCUACAUGUACAGUCAGUAAUAACCCUACUGACUCUGGAAAGAUUGUAUGAUCAGAGGUUUCCACUUGCUCUACGUCCCCAGAAGGUGUGGCAUCUACUAGCUUGAGAAUGACCAUUCCAGUUCCUCCCUUGGGGACUCCUAGCUCAUGAAACUCCCUCAGAGAAAAAAAUCCCUGUCUACCCAACUGUGCAGUAGCUGGAGGUUAGAACACUUGCACAUUGGCCCCAGCUAAAUGCUCUGGACUCUACUGGAUUGCCAACCAUCCUCCUGGAGAGAUUUCCAGGAGCAGUCUCACCUCACCUAAUAUUCAAGAUCCCCUUGAUCACUAUCAAAAGUCCAUGUUUCCCAGACACUUACUAUGUUUUCUUUUUCAUUGCCUUUUUUGAGAUGGAGUCUUGCUGUGUGACCCAGGCUGGAGUGCAGCGGUGCAAACUCAGCUCAAUGUAACCUCUGCCUCCUGGGUUUAGGCGAUUCUUGUGCCUCAGCCUCCCCAGUAGCUGAGAUUACAUGUGUGUACCACCACGCCCAGCUAAUUUUUGUAUUUUUAGUAGAGAUGUGGUUUUGCCAUGUUGGCCAGUCUGGUCUUGAACUCCUGUCCUCAAGUGAUUCACCCGCCUUGGCCUCCUAAAGUUUUGGGAUUACCAGCGUGAGCCACCGUGCCUGGCCCACCAGCCAAUUACUGUGUUUUCUGAUCACCCUACUAUUCCUAUCCUCAUCACUGCCCUUGGUCACUGAUUACAUUCCACGGCCCAUCGUUUUUACUCCACUAUUGAUCCUGGCUUUCUUUGCAGCUUCAACAUUCAUGUAGUGAUGUUUCUGAGGCUCUAGCCUCUUACAUCCUUGACCUCUUUCACUCCAAGGCCCUUUCUCCAGUCCACUUCAGCCAUACACUGGUGUGGUCACAUGCUAAAUUUAAUCACCAACAGCUGCGUCACCUCCAAAAUAACUAUCGUGGGUAUUUCCAGUUAACCAUUCCCUUGUGUCUCUUGGCUCACUUGUUCUAGUACUCCAUUCCAUACAGAACUUCACAUCCAGACUCCGCCACCUUUCCACUAUCCAUCACCUCCCUCUUAUCUUCAGUUUCCUCCUUAUCAGCUUAUAUUCUAUGAUCUCCUCUGCAAUCACUUCCUUUAUAUGCUUUGCUCUCAGCAUUUCAGCCAUACCUUCAAUAUGUAUAAGGAAAUUGAGUUGCACCUAGAUCUGGCCAGUUGAACAAUGCCAGAGAAAACCACCUGACUUUGCUGACUGGACAUACUUCAAAUUUGUUACUAUGAAUCUUGAAUGGACCCUCAAUAGUGCCAGAAGGUCUUAUAAACUUCCCUAGCAAAUUUGCUUUUUCAACCAAAUAAGACAAUUAUUUCAUACCUAAUCUUUCUCCAUUCUUUAAACCCUCUUCAUUUUUCACUUCCAGCCAUCCCUCAUACUUCAUAGAGAAAAUAGAUAUGAUGUGAUGAGUACUACUUCAUCUCUGACUGUCACUCUGCCAACCUUCUGAAUCUGUUCCAGGCACCCUACUCUCUCUCCUUCUGCAAUGACAGAAGCAUCCCUGCUUUUCUCUAAGGCCAACCCUUGAAUGUGGGUGCUAACUUCCUCACAUCAUUCUGGGCUUCUCUUGCCUUCUCAAAAAUUCAGCUUUUGCCGUUAUCUCUGUCCCUUUUACAUUGUCAAUUUCUCCAUCUCUACAGUCACCUUCCCAUCAAGGAGAUGCUUUUCCUAUCCUUCUCAUACUCAAAACAUGCAUACACCCCCCCCAAAAAAAAACUCUCUUAUCCCACUUUUCCAGCUACUAUGUCAUUUAUCUGCUCCAUUUCACCAUAAAAUGCUCCAAUAUAUUGUUUUACUUCUUUAUCUCGCUCCCCUCUUUAACCCACCUAGCAAGACUGCCAGUAACAAACAUCUUACAAAGCCAUUUAUGUAGACAGGGCAUGCAAUCACAUGUCAGGUAUUCCUUGAGCACCUCCCUUGUAUCAGACACUGUUCGUUGGCCACACCCUCCUUCACAAAUCACUUUCCUCCCUAGACAAUCAUGCAGGCUUACCUGGUCUUUCUCCUGCCUCACUGUGUUUUACUUCUCAGCCUCUCAUUUGGUUUCUCUUCCUUUUCUAGAUCUCUAAAUGUUGGGGUGCUCUGUGCUCAGUCAUCCUCUAUUCUUUAGUUUCCCUCACUGAGUUCCAUUGGUUUAAAAUUCAAUACGCUCACAGAUGGCUGUCUCAUGUCUCAGAUUUAGACUCCUGAUUGACAUCCCUACUUGUAUAUCUGACUGACUUGCUGAUGUAGCUACAGCUGUCUGCAGAACAGACCUAUCAAGGUUAAAUUUAACUUCACUUGCUGCCAUUCUUUCUGUUCACUUUACUUCUGAACACUGGCCACCUUUCUGAGCCUAACACACACCAGCUUAGAUCAAUCCACAGGGUCUUUGCACUUGUUGUUCCUUCUGUUUGAUAAAUCUUUUUUUUUUUUUUUGGAAAAGAUUUUUUCUUUUAGUAAUUCAGAUUAUAACUCAAAUGUCAUCUCUUCUGAGAGGUCUAUCCUAACCACCCUAAAUAAAUAAAGCAACUCUUCUAGUUACUACCUACCCACCUUAGCCGAGUGUACCUUCUUCACACAUUUAUUUGGACCUGCAGUUAUCUUAUUGGCUUAUUGUUCACAUGUUGAUUGUUUGAUUAUCUCCACUAGCUAUAAGCCCUAUUCUUGCAGGGUCUUAUGCUGUCUUGUUCACUACUGUAACCCUGGUGUGUAAAACAGUGUCUGACACUAGGGAGGUGCUCAAGGAAUGCUUGAUGUCUGCUUGCAUGCCAUGUCUACAUACAUGGUAAUGAGAAAUAACAGUGGUUCAUAAAGACAUCUGGCUCUCCUCUUAUAUAAGCACCUGCUGCCCUCACUCUCCCAAUUUGAUUGAGACCCUGUGAUGUCAGUGGCCUCAAUAGCACUCCUCUCCAGCUAAAGCAUAUGCCUCACACCUUGAUUGGAAGUGUUGGUCAGAAUGGCUCCCUUGGAUCAAUUUCUCUCUGCAAAUAUAUACCAAGCCCAACUUUGGUGAAGAGCUAAUAACAUCUUUUCAAUUCACGCAUAAAUUAACUACUAUUAUUUACUAAAGCACCCUAUCAUAUACCAGUCACUCUGAGGUUCUUUUAAGCAUUUGCCACAUGUAUUCUUCAGUUCAGAUUAUAUUUUACUGGCAUGAUUUAUGAUUUCCUUAGAGUAAUUUGAUUUAAAUCCUUACUAAUUGGUCUUUUAAAAACCCCUUUAAAAACAAAGCUAUUUGGGCCAGUUGUGGUGGCUCAUGCCUGUAAUCCCAGAACUUUGGGAAGCUGAGGCAGGAGGACUGCUUGAGCCCAGGAGUUCAAGGCAAUGAGCCAUGAUCAUGCUACUGCAUUCUAGACUGGGUGACAGAGCAAGCCCCUGUCUCUAAAACUAAUCAAAGGAUUAUCAAUCAGUCAAAGCUCUUUUAAGUCACAUGCCAAUUUGAAUGAAGAGUUCAGCCAUACUAUCUAAAAUAUAAAAAUUCCUAACCAUUAUACUAAGUAAUCAAAUUAGACCAAACUUAGAGGAUUAAGCACAAUUCUACUAUUCCUUUCUAAAAUUUAUAUUUGGUAUCAGUACUCUCCAAACUUCUGAACUAGCAUAAGAAAAUAGUACAUUAGCUGAUUCCUAAAAGACAUCUAAAAUAUCUAGUGUUUUUAGGAUCCAUAAAAUAGUUUUGAUAGUUUUAGAGCUUCUUAACCACAGUUUCAAAUCUUGUUGCAUCUGGUCCUCUGUGUGUACAUGUGUGGCUAUAUGUGUGCCUGGCAGAGCGAGAGACAACUGCACUUUUAGGCUUACUUUAUUUGCCUGUUUUGACCAAAAUCUUAAGGAAUUAAGUGAGGAUCUACUUUUAUCAGAGACAAUUCUUUUAUUCCAGGGAGCUAAAAGAAUAAGAGUGCUCAGCUAAAAGGUCAAGAAACUUACAGUGGGACAUCUAUUUCAUUUUGUUUUUAAUAAAGUUGGUAGGAAAUAUUUCUUACUAUGUGAAGAGAAAAUAAAGAGUACUAUCUAGGGCCUGGAGGGUUGGCUCAUGCCUGUAGUCCCAGCACUUUGAUAGGCUGAGGCAAGAUGACUGCCUGAGCCCAGGAGUUUGAGACCAGCCUGGAUAACAUAGUAAGACCCUGUCUCUACAAAAGAUUAAAAAGUUAGCUGGGCAUGGUGGAAGACUGAGAUGGGAAGAUUGCUUAAACCCAGGAGGUUGAGGCUGCAGUUCAUGCCACUGUACUCCAGCCUGGGUGACAGUGAGACUGGUCUCAAAAAAAAAAAAAAAAGUACUAUCUAAAAUACUCUCUUUUCCUUCUAGUGACAGGAUAUCCCAGGAGACAGGAGCUGGAUUUAUUGAAGCUUAAAGAGUUUUUUGGAUAAAAAAUCACAUUUAACCUUUAAAUCUAAUAGUGUAAAACCCUUAUUUAAAAAGAGAAACAAUUAUUUUUCUUGAUUUCUACCUAUGAUCUAUCCAUGAAAGAAAAAGGAAGAUUUACAGAGAAAGAUUAUCAAUUUUUUUCUAAGAAAGAUUGGUGAAAAUGAAAAAUGCCACACCUGCUUAAAUUAUUAUUAAAAACAAUAGACCAGAUGGAUUUUCUGAAUUAAUACAAUGUAAAAAUCUUUACUAGUCUGAAAACUCAUGCAGGUUUUUAUCAACAAGAAGUUGAGAGAUAUUGGACAUAUUCCAGAAUCAAGACAUUGGAUCAAUUCUAUUUUUUGAAAUCUUUCUUCUGGGGUUUUCUUUUCUUUCUCGACUAAGGAAGCUGUCCAGUAUUCCACAGAAUUAAUGUGUACCUUUACCUUUCCAAUACAUUUUCCACUUGAGUUAUCAGAAUUUUGCUACUAACAAUUACUCUACUUACAAAAAAGCAGGGCAAUACAAUAGUAUGGGUGAACUGCUCUCGGGAAUUUUCACCCGUAUUUGUGGUUAAUAGUAAUAGUCCUUUGAUACAAUGGAAUUUUAAAGUGAGAGUUUUAAAACCACUUCUUCAAAGUUUCUACGGUGAAUGCCUUAUUAAUUGGAAUGUUCAGGGAAUAGAAUUGUGAAUUUAAUUUUUGGUUUAACUCAAGACUUUUCAGAAAAUACCUUUUGUUUAGAUCUUGAAGUUGAAAAUAGUUCACCAAUGUAUUAUUCCACUUGUGUUUCAUAUAGUUCAGUCACUUUAUUCAGUAAGAAAGGAACUGGCAGGAGUUUGUAGUCAGGGAUAUCAUUCGUUGUAGUGGAACAAGGUAUGGGGGAAAUGGAAGAGAUGUAGUCCCAGAAAUAUUCUGAAGAUUAUUAUUUACAAUAUAUUCCUGGUUAUAGUUCACUUUUUGUCCUGAUUUUCCAUUCUUGUGAAUUAGAAGAAAAAGGCUGUUAAUCCAGUUUUAUUGUUAAUUUGGGUCAAGUCAGUUGAAGUUUUGUACAUAGUUCUUUAGACUUUUUUUUUCAUUAACCUAAAGCAUUUUUUGGGAAAAUUAUGUUUUAUGAAAACUACUUUUUCUUAUUGGAAAACACACACACACGGUUUCAAAAAUAAAACAAUACAAAAAAUCUUAAGGUUGAAAAAUGUUAUCAUGAAGAGAUAAUCAUGAUUUAACAUUUUGGUGAAUAGCCACCCCUAUAUAUGCAUAAUUUCAGCUUUGUAAACAGAGAAGGUCACUUCUCACAUACACACAGCCUACUUGAUAUGCCCCACAACAUAUCUGUACUCUCAGGAUGCCCUAUGUGAUCACUUUUAAUGAUUCAAUAGUGUUCCAUUAUCCAUUUAACCUAACUUCCUAGUGAAGAGCUGGAAUGUUUCCAAAUUUCAUUAAAAAAUACUGCUAGAAUAAAACAAAAAACAACUUUGUACGUAUAUCUUUGCACACUUGUUUAACUAUCUUAUUUGGAUAAAUUCCAGGAAGUAUAAACUAUAUUUUGAAUUAUAUGCCUAUUCAGACAUAACCAAGAAUAAUUCCUAUGAAUAGAUAUUUUGUACAUUUUCUCAUUUCAGAAAACUGCACUGACUGUUAUGCUGAGCUAAGAUUUAUAUCAUCAAGAGACUAAAUGGCUAUCACUAUUUAAAACUGUGUAAGAAUUUUAGGAAGGCAGAAAGCUUACUGUCCCAAAUGAGAAUACUUCUAUCGCAUGUGAGCCUGCAGGGGUUUGGCCAAAAGCUCCCCACAGGAUCUUAAUGAAUAUGAGUGAGUGGUCAGGGCUGUGGUUUCGCAUUUCAUCAGGGAAUGUCCAGGGACAAGGACGGAACGUCAAGUGGAAAGGAGAGUUCCUCAUUCAGCACUCUGCAUACCUCCAGCAGCUGGCUUCAGGCAACACCGAGAGGAUUCCCACACAUUCAUUCAUUUCUUAGCAAAUCUUCACUGAGCACCAUCUCUCAGGUACCAUGUGAGGUGAUGGAGCCCUCCCCCAGGGAGCACAGUCAGUCUAGUUGAUGAUGACCGCAGUACCAGGUGGAUUCACAGAGAAAAACUCUGUCUGAGGAAUUUGGGAAAGGCUUUACCUGGGGACAUUAGAGAUGGUCCUGGAGAGUAGAUAGGGUGGGUUAUCCUGGACACAGAUGACUUGUUCUCUGUUCAUCCAUUGGAUAUUCCCAAGCCCUUUUCUUUUGCUACCCUUUCCAGCAGAAAUGCCAACUACUUACUUUUCCAGUCUCCCUUGCAGCUGGGGUUGCGGAGGGCGGGGGGUGCAAUAUAACAUGCAGUUGUGGCCAGCGGGAUAUAAACCCAGGUUGGU